rnacentral:lncRNA from 1 species
CUCUCUUUGAAGUGAGGAAGCAGUGCAAUGUGCAAUCAAACAGCGCUUGAGAUUAAAAGACACGCUCUAUAUGGAGAGACAGAGUUUGGGGGCGGUGAAAUAAAGAUUGUAGCUCCACACUUCUGCUUAUUUCCUUUCACUUAAUUUUUCUUGCACUUGCUCCACACAUUUGUUCUUGUCAGUCACAAACAAGAUGGAAAACUCUCUGCUGAUGACUCUUACGGCGCUCCUGCUCCUUGGAGUUCUUUUUCCCUUUACAGAAGGAAUCUCAGCUCAGUCCUCAAUCAACAACAUCUCAACCCCCUCAACCCCACGACCCACUAGUGCUACAACAUCCACUACCCUACAGGCCACAUGUCCGAAACGCAUAGAAUAUAUUACUAAGUCUGAUCUGUUCCAGCUGAAGGUAAUAUGGAAGGUCGGUCCAUGUGAAGGUCAGCUUUAUGUGUAUUCUCAUGAGCGUCAAGGGCCUUUGUGCUCUAGCAGUGAAAUAUCAGUCAGCUGGUGGUCUGGAGUGUGUAAAGACAGAAGAUGUGGAGACUUCAAGGGCUUUAAGCACACUUCAAACCAAGCUAAAGGUCUUAUGCUCACAAAAAAUAUGACAUUCAUCGAUACUACUAAGUGCAACGGCCUGCAUAUCAUGUGUGAAGAUCCUCUAGGAACAGAGUUGGCUGCUUAUAAAGCAGUAACUGGCAUAUUAAUUUUCUUGAUCUUGGGUGUCAUUCUGGUUCAGUUUGGUCGGCCCACGUACAAAGCCAUCCGCAAACGAUUUUCACAAAAACGUCAGAAUCGCUGGGUCGGCCCGACUCAGAGCGUGUGCUAUAAUAGAGGUCAAGGACCCCCAAACAAAAACACAGACAAGAGACAGUCCUUUCCUGGUUUGGAGAGGCUGACGGUAAACCAGAGCAGAGAGCCCUCAUCCAACAGAAACAGUGAUUAUGACUCAUACGGCUACAGCUGAAGGCCUGUGCUCACAAAAGACUUACUGACCCCAAGAACAACGCUCGUCAUCUACAAUCAGCAGAUUGUUUUACAUUACACAGCUUCGGUUGUGUUGAGCUGUCGAUUGGCAAAACAAGAAAGCUGUAAAUAUCUUUGAAAAGCAUAGCUGAGAAAUCCAUUUAGGAUCAAAUAAAAAUAAUAAUGAUAACUUAGUCUCAACAUAAGCACAAAAGUGCUUAUUUAGUAUAGCAUAGCAGGCUUCCUUUUAUUCAUUAUUCAUUUUUUAAUGCUUUGUAAUGACUUGUUUUUGCUGUGUUUGUUUUUUUGGUGUUGUUUUUAAAUAGUCAGAAACAAAAUGGGAUUCCGCCUUAUGUUCAAAAGAUGAUGGAUUUUUAAAAAAAUGUUUAUUUAUGCACGUGAUUGAUUUGUGAGUUGGAGUUUGAAUAAUUUUAAAUAAACUAAAAAGGCAAUCAUUCAGAUCUUUCGUGACUUUUGACUUGGGUGCAGAAUCAGAAUAAAACUGGUGGGAGUAAAUUAGUAGAACGAUACAUCAUAAAUAUAUAAGCAUGGUUACGUUAGAGCUUAGAUGAGAAAUGUCUUCUGAGGUGGCAUGGAAGUGAAGUUAAGCUUGGGAGAGGGAAUGUGGUGUUAAUGCAGAAUUUUGCAGCAAUGUGGUUUCCUGUCAUAAUUCUAUUAACUUCCUGUUUGUGUUAUUUCUGUCACUCAUGCUCUAAAUAUACUCAGUGUGCUCAUUCUUUUUGGUUGGAUUCUUUGUCUUUCUUUCUUUCUUUCUUUCCUUUCAUUUUUCCUUUUAAUAUUUUCUCAUUUCUCUCUUUCUCUCUGACCCAGUUGAUUUUUUUUAAUACUGCACUCAUAGAGGGUUUAAUAUCACAACAGCUUAAAAUCUUAUGUCUUGCCUGACUGAUGGUAGCUAAGUAAAACUCUCUUUCUAAGUGCACCAGUGAGAGAGACAGUUAAAAAACUUGGUUGGUUUCUGCCUAAACCUCUCUAUAUCUCUCCAUGUGUUUGCAUGCACAGCAGUUCAAGAUGGUUGUUUCAGUUCUGUGCAUUUUUUUUUUUUUUUAUUGUUAUGUGGCUUUGUCUUUGCAGCUGUCUUUAGUCUCUCUUCAUAUUUGAGACAAAUACACAGCCGAGAGAACAAACGCAACAGUGGGUUUCGGAAGAGAUGAGUGUUGUGUGUGUGGUGGGUGGAUAAGUGUCGUCUCCUCCUCACUCCUCAGGUCAGAGUGAAGGAUUAUAUCGUGUGUUGUGUGUGUGGUGGGUGGAUAAGUGUCGUCUCCUCCUCAUCCUCAGGUCAGAGUGAAGGAUUAUAUCUGUAGUUUAAAUGAGGUUCCAGCAGAGAACAAUGACAGAUGACAACAGAUUACAUGCACAGAUUAACAGAGAGACCACACUGGAUAAAAUAUCUAGUGCAUCCAUCCGGCAUUUCCAACAAACACUUGUGACACUGACAUCAAACCUACUUGUUACCUGCAUACAGUCUGUUUUAAUGUAAAUCUUUGGUUAAAUCUUUUGCAUUAAAAUUCGUCACACAAGCUUUUGCGUUAUUAUUUCAACAGUUACAAUCAACUGUACAAAAAGUGGAUUAUAAAAGAUAAAAAAAUUAUUGAUGCCCUUGUGAAUAUAUAUUUUUGUACAUAUCUAUCUGAGCAAAUACUAAGCAAAUGAAUUGAGUUGAUGCUUAUAAAAGUGUAAAGUUUGAAAAUUCUGUUCAUUUUCUCUGUUCAUUACAAGAGAGUAGUCAUUUAGAAUGAUAAUAAAUGGGGAUAAGGCCAUGGGAAAGAGUUCAUAUAAUACAUUUAGGUUUUAUGUCUUUAGAUGUUCUCGGUCAAAAAAGCAGAGGAAGAUUAGAUGGAAAAGAGACUGUGGUGUGAUUAAAUACUUUUAUUUUUCAGAUGCAUAAUGUCCUCAUUCUUGCUAAUAGGAUUUUGCCUUUAAUGCCGGCGUCUGCAGCAUUUCUCCCUCAUGUACUACUAAUCAUUAAGCCGCUGAAAUUAAACAUUAAAAGCAUUGAGAUCCCAUUACUUUAAUGUAUGUGCAGAAACUCGUCCAUUUGUGACAACAUAAAUUCUGCAUGUUUAAUCAUAGUAAACAGAAGUGGGAAAGAGAGAGUGAGCGAGAUUAAAGAUGAGAUAGGAAGUGGGUUUCAAGAUUUACCAGAAGUUUAAUAUCCAAGAAAUAAAGGAGAGAAAAAAGGGGGAGGGGGAGAUGAGAGGAUUAUUUACCAUUUUAAAUGAAUAAAUCCGUAUUGUGUGAAUCCAGGCACACCAGCCAAAGAGGGACAGAGAGAGUGACAGACCGAAACAGUGCAGCACUACAAAUGGCAAAAGAAGAGAGAAACAACACACAAAAAUAAGGAAAGGAGGAUUUGAAGAUCAUUUGGAUACUUCUGAAAUAUCUGAACUUGGAGUAUUUUUAUAUUUAUAAAACUAAGAAAAAACUUCCAAAGCACUGAAGCAAAGUAUCCUGACAGAAGAUGGAUUGAUGAAAAUCACACUGGGCUGAGCAUGUUUGUGAGAGAAGAGUGAUACCUUACUUUCGGUUUUGCACAUCUGAAAAUCUGGAAGGACCGUUGAGGCAAGUCAUAUAUAUAUAUAUAGAGAGAGAGAGAGAGUAUUUUUUCUAUUUUUAGUUUUCUAUUUUUUUAUGUUUAUUUAUGUAAACUUAUAU